AGAGUGAACGCUGGCGGCAGGCCUAACACAUGCAAGUCGAGCGGCAGCGCAGCAGUAGCAAUACUGUGGGCGGCGAGCGGCGGACGGGUGAGGAACACAUCGGAAUCUACCCUGUCGUGGGGGACAACGUAGGGAAACUUACGCUAAUACCGCAUACGACCUUUGGGUGAAAGUGGGGGACUCGCAAGAGCCUCACGCGAUUGGAUGAGCCGAUGUCCGAUUAGCUAGUUGGCGGGGUAAUGGCCCACCAAGGCGACGAUCGGUAGCUGGUCUGAGAGGACGAUCAGCCACACUGGGAUUGAGAACGGCCCAGACUCCUACGGGGGGCAGCAGUGAGGAAUUUUCGUCAAUGGGGGCAACCCUGAACGAGCAACGCCGCGUGCAGGAGAAGGUUUUCGGAUCGUAAACUGCUUUUCUCGGGGAAGAGAACGGACGGUACCCGAGGAAUCAGCCCCGGCUAACUACGUGCCAGCAGCCGC
rnacentral:rRNA from 1 species